GACGAACGCUGGCGGCGUGCUUAACACAUGCAAGUCGAACGGAAAGGCCCUGCUUUUGUGGGGUGCUCGAGUGGCGAACGGGUGAGUAACACGUGAGUAACCUGCCCUUGACUUUGGGAUAACUUCAGGAAACUGGGGCUAAUACCGGAUAGGAGCUCCUGCUGCAUGGUGGGGGUUGGAAAGUUUCGGCGGUUGGGGAUGGACUCGCGGCCUAUCAGCUUGUUGGUGGGGUAGUGGCUUACCAAGGCUUUGACGGGUAGCCGGCCUGCGAGGGUGACCGGCCACAUUGGGACUGGGAUACGACCCAGACUCCUACGGGAGGCAGAAGUGGGGAAUAUUGCACAAUGGGCGGAAGCCUGAUGCAGCAACGCCGCGUGCGGGAUGACGGCCUGCGGGUUGUAAACCGCUUUCGCCUGUGACGAAGCGUGAGUGACGGUAAUGGGUAAAGAAGCACCGGCUAACUACGUG
rnacentral:rRNA from 1 species